rnacentral:rRNA from 1 species
AGAGUUUGAUCAUGGCUCAGGAUAAACGCUGGCGGCGUGCCUAACACAUGCAAGUCGAACGCCCUGUGCGAAGGUACAGGGAGUGGCGGACGGGUGAGUAACACGUGGGUGACCUACCUGAAGGUGAGGAAUACCGGCGAGAAAUCGCCGACAAGACCGCAUAGCCUCUCUCGCGUGAGAGAGGAAAGCUUGAAAGAGCG